rnacentral:rRNA from 1 species
AUUGAACGCUGGCGGCAUGCCUUACACAUGCAAGUCGAACGGCAGCGGGGGAGAAGCUUGCUUUUCCUGCCGGCGAGUGGCGAACGGGUGAGUAAUACAUCGGAACGUGCCCUGUAGUGGGGGAUAACUAGUCGAAAGAUUAGCUAAUACCGCAUACGACCUGAGGGUGAAAGUGGGGGACCGCAAGGCCUCAUGCUAUAGGAGCGGCCGAUGUCUGAUUAGCUAGUUGGUGGGGUAAAGGCCUACCAAGGCGACGGUCAGUAGCUGGUCUGAGAGGACGAUCAGCCACACUGGGACUGAGACACGGCCCAGACUCCUACGGGAGGCAGCAGUGGGGAAUUUUGGACAAUGGGCGAAAGCCUGAUCCAGCAAUGCCGCGUGUGUGAAGAAGGCCUUCGGGUUGUAAAGCACUUUUGUCCGGAAAGAAAUGGCUCUGGUUAAUACCUGGGGUCGAUGACGGUACCGGAAGAAUAAGGACCGGCUAACUACGUGCCAGCAGCCGCCGUAA